AAAAACUCAUUCAAUUUCAACUGAGUGCUGGUGGCGCUGGGGCCGUAAUGCAGUUAUUCAGAGCGACAGGCAAUUGAAUCUGAGAUAAAGGGAACCCUACUGGCAAGCAAGUUUUAGCCAUUUGAUCGAAAAGUUGACAGCACGAAGUGCUAAGGGGAAGUCCGAACGGUAAUUUAAAAAUAUCCAUUAGGCAAGUAUUCUCAAGACCUUUUAGAGCUUCCAAGCACUGCGAAAACUCGUCAACCAUCUCUGGCUUUGAUACUUCAUAAGCAACAUGCGAGAACUUUGGAAUUGAUUCGGCCAUGGAGGAUAUCGCGAUGCAUGCCAACAGAAACAAUGCGAAAGCCCUUUUCAAAGUUGAUGAUUUAUAUGCCAUAGUAUGAAUAUAUUCGCAAAUUUGUGAACUUUCUAAAAGGUCUACUGGAAGAAUUAUUGUGAAGUGGAAUUGUGAGCAGAUACUACUAAACUUUGGCUAUUUAUAUCUGAGAGCAGAUGCAUUAAUUAAACGAGUUAUUUGUUUAACGUAUAGUGCG
rnacentral:lncRNA from 1 species